rnacentral:snoRNA from 1 species
CUACACAUUGUAUGAUUGCUCCAACACCAGUUCCCUUGGUUUUAACUCUGUGUUAGAGCAAUGUCUGCUCUUAACCUCUUCAUUGAAGGACUAUCUUUUUUAAGUGUAUUCAGAAGAUCAGCACAUUA